UGGGGAAUUUUGGACAAUGGGGGAAACCCUGAUCCAGCCAUCCCGCGUGUGCGAUGAAGGCCUUCGGGUUGUAAAGCACUUUUGGCAGGAAAGAAACGUCGCGGGUUAAUACCCCGCGAAACUGACGGUACCUGCAGAAUAAGCACCGGCUAACUACGUGCCAGCAGCCGCGGUAAUACGUAGGGUGCAAGCGUUAAUCGGAAUUACUGGGCGUAAAGCGUGCGCAGGCGGUUUCGGAAAGAAAGAUGUGAAAUCCCAGAGCUUAACUUUGGAACUGCAUUUUUAACUACCGGGCUAGAGUGUGUCAGAGGGAGGUGGAAUUCCCGCGUGUAGCAGUGAAAUGCGUAGAUAUGCGGAGGAACACCGAUGGCGAAGGCAGCCUCCUGGGAUAACACUGACGCUCAUGC
rnacentral:rRNA from 1 species